CCUACGGGAGAUUGCAGUGAGGAAUAUUGGUCAAUGGACGAGAGUCUGAACCAGCCAAGUAGCGUGAAGGAUGACUGCCCUAUGGGUUGUAAACUUCUUUUAUAUGGGAAUAAAACAGGGUAUGCAUACCCUCUUGUAUGUACCAUAUGAAUAAGGAUCGGCUAACUCCGUGCCAGCAGCCGCGGUAAUACGGAGGAUCCGAGCGUUAUCCGGAUUUAUUGGGUUUAAAGGGAGCGUAGGUGGAUUGUUAAGUCAGUUGUGAAAGUUUGCGGCUCAACCGUAAAAUUGCAGUUGAAACUGGCAGUCGUGAGUACAGUAGAGGUGGGCGGAAUUCGUGGUGUAGCGGUGAAAUGCUUAGAUAUCACGAAGAACUCCGAUUGCGAAGGCAGCUCACUGGACUGCAACUGACACUGAUGCUCGAAAGUGUGGGUAUCAAACAGGAUUAGAUACCCGGGUAGUC
rnacentral:rRNA from 1 species